rnacentral:rRNA from 1 species
AAAUUGAAGAGUUUGAUCAUGGCUCAGAUUGAACGCUGGCGGCAGGCCUAACACAUGCAAGUCGAACGGUAACAGGAAGCAGCUUGCUGUUUCGCUGACGAGUGGCGGACGGGUGAGUAAUGUCUGGGAAACUGCCUGAUGGAGGGGGAUAACUACUGGAAACGGUAGCUAAUACCGCAUAACGUCGCAAGACCAAAGAGGGGGACCUUCGGGCCUCUUGCCAUCGGAUGUGCCCAGAUGGGAUUAGCUAGUAGGUGGGGUAACGGCUCACCUAGGCGACGAUCCCUAGCUGGUCUGAGAGGAUGACCAGCCACACUGGAACUGAGACACGGUCCAGACUCCUACGGGAGGCAGCAGUGGGGAAUAUUGCACAAUGGGCGCAAGCCUGAUGCAGCCAUGCCGCGUGUAUGAAGAAGGCCUU